GGGGAUGACUGGUUUCGACUUGGAAUGGUUGUUCCAGGAGAAGCGGGCCGAGGACCCAGGGUCAACUCGUUAACGACCCCUGGAAACCUAUAAGUGCCGAGAACACUCGCACUGACUUCGCUCUCGCUGCCUGAUCAGUGAUCGAAGGGUCAGCCCGGAUGUAGCCUUCCGUCCGGAUUCUGGCCUCGUUUAGAAGGCUGAGUGCAGGAGCCGAGUAACGACGACAGCAUCGACUGCGCCCGGAGAAUGUCUGGACGGUCUUUCAAGGACGCGGGUUCAAUUCCCGCCAUCUCCACCA
rnacentral:tmRNA from 1 species